rnacentral:misc_RNA from 1 species
AUUAUCGCCCAUUAUUUCCUCUGCAUCUGUACUCUCUUUUACCUAAUCCAAACAAGAAAAAUUUUACUGGUUUAGAAACGAGAAGCAACGUAUCAGAAUCAAGAACAUGUCCUUAUUGGAGGAGGAGCUAUUCCCGUCGACUCCUGGCAAGUUCAAGAUCGACCGUGGACACACCAUGAGUCGUCAUUUCCAUCGUUGUUUUGCCUCUACAAGCACCAUGUUCUUGUGGGCUCUUUUCUUGAUUGCUUUGACCGCUUCCUACUUGAGUUUCCAGAG